CUUCACACAAUCCCAUGUAAUGAACAAGAAUGGGAUAAAGAGUUGGCUUACAAUUGCCACUUCACACAAUGAACAUAUAAUUCAUACAUCAAUAAGAGUACACACAUAGUCGGACUACGGACGAAGCCAAAAGAAAAGAAGAUAACCCAACUGCUAGAUCCCCGAUCGUCCCAACUGGGCUCCACUACUGAUCAACAUGAAACGAAACAUAGCAACGACCAAGAUCUUUGUUGAGCUCCCAUCUAAACUCGGUUGCAUCACCUGCACUGGUAUCAUCGGGACCUGCAACUGUUGUGAUAGUAUCUGGUGAGUCACGAGGACUCAGCAAUCUCAAAACCCGCGAGAUCAAGACUAUUUAAUCUUAUGGGUAGGAAGUGAUAAUGAAGUGGAGUUGCAGCAAGCUCUAAGCAAAUAUGGUGGCUAACAUACGCAAGUAAGAGCGAGAAGAGAAGCAACGGAACGGUCGAGAAGCUAGAAGUGAUCAAGAAGUGAUCCUGAAACUGCUUACGCACAAUCAUAACACCAAGACCGUGUUCACUUCCCGGACUCCGGCGAGAAGAGACCAUCACAGCUACACACGCAGUUGAUGCGUUUUAAUUCAGUCAAGUGUCAAGUUCUCUACAACCGGAUAUUAACAAAUUCCCAUCUGCCACAUAACCGCGGGCACGGCUCUCGAAAGUUUAUACCCUGCAGGGGUGUCCCAACUUAGCCCAUCACAAGCUCUCACGGUCAACGAAGGAUAUUCCUUCUCCCAGGAAGACCCGAUCAGUCUCGAAAUCCCGGUUUAGAAGACAUUUUGACAAUGGUAAAACAAGACCAGCAAAGCCGCCCGAUGUGCCGACAAAUCCCGAUAGGAGUCGCACAUAUCUCGUUCUCAGGGCACACCGGCUGAGCCAGACGUCGGGUUGGCCUAGACCCUGGUUGCCCAGGGGGCGCCGGACAUCGCUCAGUUUGGACCAGCACCCGAAGGAGCACUGGCCCGGGGGGGGGGGGUAAAUAAAGAUGACCCUUGAGUCUGCAGAACCCAAGGGAAAAAGGCUUAGCUGGCAAAUGUUAAAACCAAGGUUGGGCCUUGCUGAAGGAGUUUUAUUCAAAGCGAACUGUCAAGGGGGUCCCAUAAAUCACCCAACCGCGUAAAGAACGGAAAAUCAAGGAACAUAACACCGGUAUGAUGGAAACUAGGGUGGCAAGAGUGGAACAAAACACCAGGCAUAAGGCCGAGCCUUCCACCCUUUACCAAGUAUAUAGAUGCAUUAAUUAAAUAAGAGAUAUUGUGAUAUCCCAACAUCAUCCUGUCCAUCAUGGAGCAAUCUUUAACUUCACCUGCAACUAGCAACGCUAUAAGAGGGGCUGAGCAAAGCGGUAACAUAGCCAAGCAACGGUUCGAUAGGUAAGGUGAAAAAGGUUAGAGGCUGGCAUGGCAAUUUAGGAGGCUUGAAGAGCAAGUGAUAGGUAGCGCAGCAUAGCGAUAGAACGAAGCAACUAGCAAGCAAAGAUAGAAGUGAUAUCGAGGGUAGUGGUCAUCUUUCCUGAGAUCCCGCAAGGAAGAAGAAUGAGUCCAUGAAGAAGACAAACGAACGUAGUCGAACGAAUCCUCACAACUCCGAAACAAAACCGAAGCUAACGAGAGAAGCAAACCAGAAAGAAGCAAACAACAUGGUAAACACACAAGCAUAAUCAUGGCAUGAUGCACAAUCAAGUAUGAUGCAUGUCCGGUUUAAUGAGGCAUGGCAUGGCAAUAUGCACAAACAACACUACAAGUUAAGUAGAGCUCAAUAUGCAACAAGUUGAAUAUUGACGAAACACCACAUCAAUUAUUUAGUUCUCUCCCGUUUAGGAACACAACAAUAUUACAUGUGGUUAUAAACAUGGAAAGAGGUGAAACAUAAGUAAACUAACUAUUUAGGCAAGUUUAAAUGAGGCCGGAAACACAAACAACACUUCCGGAAAAUCCCCAUGUUAUUUAGCAAUUUAAUGCAACAACAAUUUUAAACAUUUUAAUUAUUGUUAUCAUGAUGCGGAUGACAUAUGCAAGUAUUAUGCAAUUUUUAUGAAAAUGUUGACAUGAGCAUGUUAUGAAGCAUUUUUCAUCGUGGCGGAACGAAAGGGGUGCCACGGCAACAAAUUCAAAAAUGAUGCCACGGCAACAUAUCGAUCUCGAUAACUUGAUUGAGAUACCGAUGCAAACGAGAAGUGUGCGGAUGUGUAGAACACGCAAGAGAUGGUGGGGUGCUCCCGACUACCGGGUUCCCACGGGUCGACGGCAUGGCAAACAAGGAACGUGCAAAGACCUCUCUCGGACACGGUGCAAACACGAGCAUCUCAUACAACACAUGCAUUUGGUCCACGGUUGAUCGUCUCGGGGUUAUACCUUUGAAGUGUGCAUUUCAGGGCGGUUCAAAAUCGUCGAGGGAAGUAGUCGUCCACGGGUCGUAGGGGAAGUAGUCGUACACGUUACGUAGUGGAAGUAGUGGUUCACGUCUUUGUAGUCGUAUGCACUCCAUAGAUGAUCGGCGUCACGACGAGAAACUUGAUGUCCAUGGGGUCAACAGUAGAGGAGGUAGUGGUACUAUUCAUCGGUCGUUGUUGUACUUGGGGUCUUCGGACUUGUCGGUCUCGAUUCUUGCGACGGUAGUGGUACACGUGGUAGAUGAAAUUGACGAUCCGAAGGGGUACUUGGCAGGUCGUCGAGGUACGCGUUCUUAGCGAUCCCGUAGACGCGGUAGAGGUACUUGAUGCGUCACCGUGUAGUCGAACUUGGCGGUCUUGACGAACCGUAGUGGUACUGGGCGAGAUACACGGCCACGGUAGUCUUCGGACUUGGUUUUUCCUGUGCAUGACUCCACGGGUCCUGGGGUAGCUCAGCGAUGGCAUUGGCAAAGAGGCGGCAGCAUCAGUCGAAGGAAGCGACAAUGGCAGCUUGACCCGGAGAUGACGGGCGAUGGGGGCGUCGGCCCCUGGUUCCAAACAAAGGCAAGGCGCUGGCCUCGAGCGACACUCAUCAGCGGGAACAGUGACCGGGUCGCAGCACCAUGGGGAAGGAGGUGCUCGUGAGCAGCUGAUGAAGGAGGAUGUCGGCGCAGGAUCAAGGCCAUGGGGAUGGCCCGUAGAAGGAGGCGCGGGCGAGGCGAAGCAGGAGAGGAAGGUCGACGGGGAGGCAGCGACCUUGGUCGCGGUGGAAGGAGUCACGCAGGGGAAGGAGGUCGGGCGCGGGUACUGGACGGAGACGAGGCUCUCCAGCCAGCGUGUCGAACGGCGAGGCAGGCGGGGCUUCUGCUGGGCAUGGAGGACGACGGUUGCGGGCGCAGAUGCUCGAGGAGCUCCUCUCCUCGGGCGCUCGGGUGACGAGGAUUUGGCGAGGAGCCACACGACGAGGAAGCAGGCGAUGCAUCGGGGUGACGAGGAUGGACGGCACCGGUGCAGAAGAGGAAGGAGGGCGGCAUCACUAACAGGGGAGGCGCGCCAUGGGGAUCGAGCGCGGGCACUCCUCCUAGCGCUUGCUGUGUGCGUGUGUGUGUGGCGGCGGAGUGGGAGGACGAGGGAGUGAGCGUAGGGAGGCUAGGGUUAGAUAGGGUUUAGGUGGGCUGCGGGGGAUGGUUGGGCCGGCCUGGUUGGUUAGGCCCAAGAGGUCGGCGGGUGCAGGCUCUCUCUCUCCCUUCCUCUCAUAAUUUCCUUAACAGAAAAGAAUUAGAGAGAAGGAAAGAAAGAAAGGGUUAGGGAAAGAAUAUGCGCAAGGGGUUAAUUUCCCUGGACUCACAAAAAUAAGCUUGAUCCAAGAAAAUGGAAAGGGAGCGUGGGCGUGGAGUUGAAUUCCACCUCAUUUGAAUUUAAUUCAAAUGAGUGUGAGAAAGAAGUGGGUAUUCGGUAUGUCCAAAAAUGUUGAGAAAUUUGGUGGAGCUCGGGAAAAUGACAAAAGAAUUUAUUGGUAGAGUUGGAGACCAAGAAUUGAGAUAACAAAGGCAUUGGGAUUUAUUUGCAAGUGUGUUAUGAUCAAUUCCAAAAAAUGAAAUAUUUAUUAUAGCUCCCUAAUAAUAGUAGGAGACUUUGAAUAUGUUUUAAAGAGAAAUCACCAUGUGAAUAUCCCUCGAUUUAAAUAGAUCAAUGAUCUAUGCAAUUUAUUAGUUGAGUUGAGAUGCAAAGAUUAAUGACAUGAUGGCAUGAUGACAUGAUGCAAUGCAAAAAUAAAAGAGCAAGCACAAAAGAAACACACAGUGAUCACGAAAACAUGGAAGUCUUCUGGAGCGUCGGUCUCGGGGAAUUACAUAGAGAGAGGUACGUGAUAUACAUCUAGAAUCAAGAGAGAGAGAGAGAGAUAAGGGCGACUGAAUUCCUCCCAGCAGUUCAUCGCACCAGCCAAGAACUGACCCUCAUGAGGCAGUCCUUCCUUGUAUUGCUCAUCAUCAGCCCAAGAGGCAAUCCACUACACCACAGACUGGAGUAGGGUAUUACACCACAAUGGUGGCCUGAACCAGUAUAAACCCCGUGUCUAUUGUGUUGUUCUUUUAAUAGUUUAGAUCCUAGCGAUUCGGCGAGGAGCAAGCAGAUAGAGGGUGAAAUCUCCGCGCGCACCCCAGUGUUCGAACCUCAAGGGUCUGUCGGAACCCGAAAUCUGACAUUUGGCGCGCCAGGUAGGGGUGCGCCGGAAUUCUUCUUCCGUCGCCCUGUUCUUCUCCGACCAUCGCAUCCAUGUUAGACGCUCGUCGGGCCCGCGCCAAGCGCCGAGCCGCCCUCGCUUCCCGUGUCGCCCAGACGGCUCCCGUCGGCGGGCGUCCUCGUCGUUCCCCGUCACCUGCCGUCAACACCGCCACCGGCCCGGCGGGGAACGGGCAGCAAGCAUCGUCCCAGCAUCCCUCCGUGACCUCUUGGGAAGAGCCACGCAGCCUCUUCCUCACCCACCCCGUCGCGCCGGCUCCCUCGGUCGUCGCGGCCCUCCUGGGCGGCUCGCAGGCGCCGCCCUCCUGCCACCACGUCAAGCCAUUCGUCCGCUGGGUCAGCGCCGCCUCCACGCGGCAGGGGGCUCCUCCGGGCCGGUCGGAGCCAUCGGCCAGGCUGGCCUUCAGCUCAGAGGACCACCCCUCCAACUCGGCCUGCUCGGGUGCGCUCCCCAUGCUCUGCACGCCCACCAUCUGCCAGGUGGCUGUCACCAGGACUCUCAUCGAUGGCGGCGCGGGCCUCAGCGUGCUCUCAGUUGAGGCCUUCAACCUCCUCUGCAUACCCUGGGAACGGCUGCAACCUUGCCGGCCUUUCUCGGGCGUUGGAGGUGGGUCGUCCAGGUCCUUGGGACAGAUCCGGCUCCCGGUAACUUUCGGCACCUACGACAAUUUCCGCACAGAGCUGGUCGAUUUCGACAUCGCCCCCAUCGGCCUCCCCUACAACGCCAUCCUCGGCUAUCCGGCACUGGCCCAAUUCAUGGCCUCGACUCACCCAGCGUACAACCUCAUGAAGAUGCCCGGGAGCAACAGUGUCCUCACCGUGCCCGGGGACACCGGAGAUGCGCUGUGAGUACUCAAGCUCGCCCUCAAGACGGCGGCGGCAGCACGUCCCGCCAACGCAGAAACCCCCAAGCCCAAGGGAGCUGCGCCAACCAAGAAGAAACAGUUGUUCACCCGAGACAAGGCAGAGACCAAGCAGAUACCUGUCGACGAGGACGGGUCCACUAACGCCACUUUCACCAUAGGCGCCAACCUCGAGCCCGAGCAGGAGGAAGCCCUAGUCAAGUUCCUGCGCGCAAACAAGAAGGUGUUUGCCUGGGAGCCCAAUCAGUUGGCACGGAUCCCACGGGGCGUAAUCGAGCACCACCUCAACAUGUGCCUGAACAUGCGCCCCGUGAAGCAGAAGGUGAGGAGGCAGUCUACUGAAAAGCAGGCCUUCAUCGUCCAGGAGACCCGCAAGCUAGAAGCCGCGGGGGUUAUUCGUGAGGUCCGAUAUCCAGAUUGGUCAGCCAACCCUGUGGUUGUGCCAAAGAAGGGAGGGAAGGAGCGCAUGUGUGUCGACUUCACCAACCUCAACAAAGCAUUCUCGCAAGAUCCGUUUCCGCUCCCUCGCAUCGAUCAGAUCUUCGAUUCCACCGCUGAGUGUGACCUGUUAUGCUUCUUGGAUGCCUUCUCCGGGUAUCACCAGAUCAAGAUGGCGGUGGAAGACGUGGAGAAGACGGCCUUCCUGACCCCGUGUGGGGUGUACUGCUAUACAUGCAUGCCAUUCGGACUGCGCAACACGGGGCAACCUUUCAGCGGCUCAUGCACAUCACCUUGGGCCCGCAACUCGGGAAGAACGUGGAGGCUUACGUCGACGACAUUGUAGUGAAGUCUCGCGAGGGCAAGACCCUGAUUCAAGACCUGGAGGAAACCUUCGCAAGCCUCAACGCAGUGAGCCUGCGGCUCACCCCGGAGAAGUGUGUGUUUGGAGUCCCCUCAGGCACGCUCUUGGGCUUCCUCGUGUCCCACAGAGGCAUCGAGGCCAACCCAGAAAAGGUCAAGGUAGUCGAGGACAUGAGCCCACCAAAGACCCUCAGAGAAAUGCAGAAGCUCACGGGGCGCGUGACUGCGCUGGGGCGCUUCAUCUCCAGGCUAGGGGAGCGAGCGCGGCCUUUCUUCCAGCUGAUGAAGAAAAAGGGGCCCUUUGAAUGGACUGAAGAGGCCGACAAGGCGUUCCAAGAUCUCAAGAGAUACCUAACCAGCCCUCCGGUGAUGGUGGCCCCACGCCCUCAAGAGCCCUUGGUACUCUACCUCGCCGCCACUCCCUACUCCGCCAGCGCGACUCUGGUCGCAGUUAGGGAGGAGCGUCGGACCAAAGCCACGGCAGCUACCCGUGUCAAGGCAAAGCAGGACCAAAAAGGACUCACAGAGAUCGCUACCACGGCUGAGGAGGCUCAGCCGCCGCAGGGGAGCGCGCCGGGAGCGGAGGAGGCCCCUCCCCCAGGCAACCAACUUCCGGAGGCCCCAUCGCUUCAGCAGGCGCCACGGCCUCCGGAGGACGCCACCAGCACCGACGCUCCAAGCCUCAUCGAGCACCCGGUGUACUUCGUCAGCACGUUGUUGUAGGAUGCGAGGGCACGGUACCCCAUGCCACGGAAGCUCCUCCUCGCGCUACUGGUGGCCUCACGCAAGCUGCGGCACUACUUCUAGGGUCACCCGAUCAAGGUUGUCUCAGCAUACCCCUUGGAAAGGGUGCUCAGGAGCCCUAACUCGGCCGGAAGGGUCGCCGAGUGGAACAUUGAACUGCAAGCAUUUCAGCUCAAAUUCAGCACAACCAGGGUCAUCAAGGGAGCCGCCCUAGCAGAUUUCGUCGCUGAAUGGACGGAGGCACCAGACCUCAAGGCCGGCGAGGAUCGAUCCCUCUCCCCGGGAAGCAAGGCGCCAGAAGGCUGGGUCAUGUACUUCGACGGGGCAUUCUCCAGGCAUGGCGCUGGGGCUGGGGCGGUGCUCGUAUCUCCCACUCAGGACAAGCUUUACUACGCCCUGCAGCUCUAUUUCCAGCAGGGUGAAAAGGUCUCCAACAAUAUAGUGGAAUACGAAGGACUGAUAGAGGGCUUGAAGGCCGCCGCUGCCCUAGGGGUGAAGCGCCUUACUAUCAAGGGCGAUUCACAGCUCCUCGUCAAUUUCUCCAACAAGGUAUACGAGCCAAGAGAUGAGCACAUGGAAGCCUACCUUGCGGAGGUCCGCAGGAUGGAGAAGCAGUUCUGGGGGUUGGAGCUACAACAUGUGCCCCGUGGCACUAAUCAAGAGGCCGACGACAUCGCCAAACGAGCCUCCAGGCGGUUACCCCAGGAGCCGGGCGUCUUCGAGGAACGACUCUUCAAGCCUUCAGCCCUGCCAUCAUUAUCGAACACAACACAGCCUCGGGAGGAGCUCCCCCAGCCACCUGCCUCAGGAGCCCCAGCCUGUGGCCCAGCCUCAGGAGCAUGCCCGCUCCUGACGAUGGAGCCUCAGGAGGGGUGCUGGAUCACAGAGCUCCGGGGCUACUUAACACAAGGAACCCUGCCGGAGAAGGAGGAGGAAGCAGAGCGUGUGACGCGACAAGCUACAGCGUACUGCAUCAGGGAUGGAGAGCUCUACCGGAAACGACCAAACGAUGUGUCCUUGCGCUGCAUCACCAGGGAGCAAGGGAAGGAACUGCUGGCAGAUAUAUACGGUGGAGACUGUGGGCAUCAUUCGUUGUCACGGACCCUCGUCGGCAAGGCGUUCCGCAGUGGUUUCUAUUGGCCUACUGCGCUCAAUGACGAUGUCGAACUAGUGAAGGCUUGUGAGGCUUGCCAAUUCCAUGCCAAGCAGAUCCAUCAGCCGGCAGGAGGUCUGCAAACCAUACCCCUCACGUGGCCGUUUGCAGUCUGGGGGCUGGAUAUCCUGGGCCCAUUUCCUCGGGCGCCAGGGGGCUAUCGCUACCUCUACGUCGCCGUGGACAAGUUCACAAAGUGGGCUGAAGUUGAGGCCGUCCGCACCAUCCCUGCUAGUUCUGCGGUCAAGUUCAUCAAGGGCAUCAUGAGCCGAUUCGGGGUGCUGAACCGCAUCAUCACUGACAACAGUUCGCAAUUCACGACUAACCUCUUCAAAACAUACUGUGCUAACCUUGGAACGCAGAUAUGCUACUCUUCGGUAGCGCACCCCCGAAGCAACGGCCAGGCCGAGCGGGCCAACGCAGAAGUCCUGAGGGGCCUCUAGACCAGAACGUUCAAGAAGAAACUGGAGGCCUGUGGCAGAGUUUGGUAUGGCGAGUUUCAGUCCGUGUUGUGGUCCAUCCGCACAACCGUGACCAAGCCGACUGGGGAGACCCCUUUCUUCCUGGUCUACGGAGCCGAAGCGGUCCUCCCUCACGAGGUCAGGCGUCAUUCCGCGCAGGUCCUGGCAUUCGAUGAGACGCAGCAGGACGCCAUGCGGGGGAUGGACCUCGUGCUGGGGGAGGAGCAUCGUCGAGAAGCCGCGCUGCGAGCGGCAAGGUACCGACAAGCACUGCGGUGAUACAACUGCCGCAACUUCCGCCCCAGAACUCUCGAGGUAGGGGACCUCGUGCUCCGGCGGGUUCUCUCCAGGGAAGGACUGCAUAAGCUCUCUCCCAUGUGGGAGGGCCCGUUCAAGGUUGUUCAUGUUUCCAGGCCCGGCUCCACACGCUUGGAGACUCAGGAGGGAGUACCGGUCCAGAAUGCGUGGAACAUCCAGCACCUCCGGAGGUUUUACCCCUAAAAAGGCCCAGAGCCUGUGAAGAAGGCGAAUGCCUGUGAAGCUCAUCUUUUUGGAAAAGGCCCAGAGCCUGUGAAGAAGGCGAAUGCCUGUGAAGCUCAUCUUUUUGGAAAAGGCCCAGAGCCUGUGAAGAAGGCGAAUGCCUGUGAAGCUCGUCUUUUUGGAAAAGGCCCAGAGCCUGUGAAGAAGGCGAAUGCCUGUGAAGCUCAUCUUUUUGGAAAAGGCCCAGAGCCUGUGAAGAAGGCGAAUGCCUGUGAAGCUCAUCUUUUUGGAAACGGCCCGGAGCCUGUGAAGAAGGCGAACGCCUGUGAAGCUGUCGCGUUUUGGAGAAAGCCUGGAGCCUGUGAAGAGGGCCAAUGCCCGUGAAGCUUGCCUCCCCGAAGAAAGGCCCGGAGCCUGUGAAGAAGGCUAACGCCUGUGAAGCUCGCCGCCCAUGACACUCUCACGUAAUAAUGAAUUGGGGCUGUACACGCCUCGGAGUCUCAGGAGCGCCGGCCUCAGGCCCUGGGGCACCCUCCCACGCCCAGUGGCAGCACUUAGCUCCGCGCUGGUGAGAAGACGUCGAAGACUAGACUAGGUGUCGGAUGCGGCUUUUUCAUUUGCUUUCUGCAGUUUACUAGUUCAUUCUCAUUUGGAGUUUUAUCGAAACUAUCGCCGCCUUUGACUUGUGGUUCUUCGACUUUUUCGCCCUCCUGCCUCGAUUUCUCUUGCGCAAGGGAUCGUGAGGUGGAAGCCCCGGGCGCCCUCGCGAGUGUUUCUGUCCCUAUCGCUCAAGGUUUCACGGCCCGGGUCCACUACAGGAGCACCCCUCCAGUCCAUGCCCCACGGGCACCACGACACGAAUACAGGACCUGGGUCGGUCGCCCCCAUGGUUGAGGCUGAGAUUACCAACUCGCGGGCAUGCGACAUAAAGGAACAAUACCGAAAUAACGGAAACAGUACGAUGAUUGAUGACGAUAACCCAAACACGCCGCGACGGGGCCCCACAUUGUUGUCUUUUUUACGCAGGAGAAAAGAAAGGAAAGAACAAAUCAGGCGAAGCUCGCCCUACGCUGGCCCUCAGGGAAGACUCGAGCCGCCUUCGGAGCUCAGGCGGACUCCCUCUCGCGCUUCACCGGGGCGCGACGGCGGGCAGACCCGCUGCCGCCCUCCAAGCAGGAACGACGUCAUGGAGGCUGACCGCGGCCGCUGCUAGAAAAGUCACUACCCGAAGAAGAGCUGGUGAAGCCUGAGGAGUCCCGGAUGCUGCCAACCAUGCGCGCGGUGUCCUCUCCAUCCUCGACGGGGCUGGGUCCCCGGCCGCGGUCAUCGUCUUCAGGGUAGCACCCUACAAGGCGACCAUCUUCCCCAAACACCCUCACAUAGAGGGUGGCGUCGCUGUCGAACUUGAAGUGCAGGGUGCCCCGGCGGCUCAGGCCACGCGCGCGGGCAAACGUCUGCCAGCCGUGGGUCAAGGCCAGGCUCCCGACCGCGGAGACCUCCAGCGAAGCCCAGGAGGCCCGGCUGCAGCAGCCAUCCGCCUGGAGCCAGAGGCCGCCCAGGGCGCCAGCUGGGAGCUCACCUAGGAGGAAGCGAGGGAGCCGAAGCCGGGCGCUAGUUGGCUCCGCCGUCCACACAAUGAACUCCAGUAGCACCUCCGCAGUGUGGAAGCGCGGCCUGGGGGGUCGCACGGCCGGAGCAUGCCCCCCGGCCACGGCCAGCCGCCCAUCACCGCGCAGAGAGCCACCUCCGCAACCGCGGGGGGCCGCCGUGGAGGCCGUAGGGUGUUUGUGAGGGCGGCCUCGACCGCGCUUGGGCGGGGGAGAGGCAUACUCGACCUAGCGAGCCUUUCCUUUCUCUGCAGUCGAGAACUUCCUUGGCGGAGCCAUGAAGAAGAAGGAGAAGCAGAGGGGAUAGACUGGAGGACGUGCACCGUUCCGUACUUAUAGCCGGCGUAGGUCAACCAUCGACCUCCACGAUUGCAGGUAAUCAUGACCCGCUUUGCAUGCAGGGACUUGUCGAAUCCGUGCAGUUACUGAGGCAUCAUGGGGAAGCAGAGACACCCACGUCCAAUCAACCGCCACGCGGCGCCCAAGGCCGCAGGCUGUUAGGUCCCGCGACGCUUCGCACUUGCCCUUUCGCCUCUCUGCUCGGCCAAGUCCGGGCGCACCGCGGGCCCGGGGGCUACUGUCGGCAUUCUGGGAACGGGGGUCUCCAGACUUGCCUGCCUGCGGCCUGCGGCGUGGCUCAAAGGGGGCCCAGCGCGGCCCAUCUUCAUCAACACAAGCUCAAGACCCUCGCGAGGGGCCAGGCCUCGCGGGGCGGACGACAAGAAGCUUCCUCAGGCACGGCCUCAUUAGGCUAGCUCACGAGGAGGCGGAGAGUUCAAGGCAGGGUACCUCGCGAGGUGCCCAUGACGCAGGCCAUGACGACCAAGGGCGCCAGUCGGGCGCCAGCCUGCGCAGUGUCCUCCUUUCCUCUUUGGUGCAAAGGGAGCAAGCGCAGGCGAGAGCAUCCAGCAAAGGCAUCCAUUUCGGUGCAACGAGACCAAGACCAGGCCAACGGCAGGGAGGAAGUCAUUGUGGAGCCCAAGCAGGCGUCACCACCAGAGCCUUUGACACGCGAGGACCAACUUUAGUCAGGAUAAGUGUACCCGCUGUUCCCCUUCAAAAUGGCCAAUUGUUGGCGCCCUUCCAGCUCAAUAUUUGGGGAGAGGCCCAGGGCCUUUGCCUGUAAAUAGAACUAGCCACCCCCAGGGUAGAGAGAGGUACCUGAUAUACAUCUAGAAUCAAGAGAGAGAGAGAGAGAGAGAGAGAGAGAGAGAGAUAAGGGCGACUGGACUCCUACCAGCAGUUCAUCGCACCAGCCAAGAACUGACCCUCGCGAGGCAGUCCUUCCUUGUAUUGCUCAACAUCAGCCCAAGAGGCAAUCCACCACACCACACACUGGAGUAGGGUAUUACACCACAAUGGUGGCCGGAACCAGUAUAAACCCUGUGUCUCUUGUGUUGUUCUUUUCGCAGUUUAGAUCCUAGCGAUUCAGCGAGGAGCAGGCAGAUAGAGGGCGAAAUCUCCGCACGCACCCCAGUGUUCGAACCUCAAGGGUCUGUCGGAACCCAAAAUCCGACACUAGCAACCUCCAUUACAAAGGAAGUCACGUUACGCGGUCCAAUCCGGCACGCGCCGCUCCAUCGCUGACGUCAAGAAGGCUUCGGCUGAUACCACGACGUCGAGUGCCCAUAUCUUUCCCGCGUAGUUGGUUAGUGCGUAUAAGCCAGUGGCCAGACUCAGAUCAAAUACCAAGAUCUCGUUAACCGUAUUAUUUUAAAGUAACCGCGGACGCCGACCAGGGCCAGGCCCACCUCUCGCCUAGGUGGUCUCAACCUGCCCUGUCGCUCCACCACAUAGUAACGGUCGGGGGCCGUCGGGAACCCAGGCCCACCUCUACCGGGAUGGAGCCACCUGUCCUUUCAGUCCCCACAUCGGCAUCACUUGCGGGUAGUCAACGAGCCAACCCGACUUUAGUCACCAUCUGUAUGGUAUGUAUAUAUGUAUAGUAUAUACCCUUGAUAACCUUUCGAGCGAUCACGGCCCAAUAGUAUAGCAAGGCAGACUGACAAGAAUGUAGAGCCAAUGAUGAUAAACUAGCAUCCUAUACUAAGGAAUUAGGAUUGCGGGUAAGGUAUCAACGACUGCAGCAACAAUGACAGGCUAUGCAACAGAAUAGGAGUAACUGAACAGUAACAUGCUACACUACUCUAAUGCAAGCAGUAUAGAGAAGAAUAGGCGAUAUCUGGUGAUCAAGGGGGGGGGGGCUUGCUGGUUGCUCUGGCAAGUAGGGGUCAUCAACUCCGUAGUCGAACUGGGGUCGCCGACAGUCUCGGGGUCUACCGGAAAGAAGUAACGGAGGGGGAUCACAAUAAAUAACAGAGCAAUCAAAGCAUCACAAAGUAGAACAUGGCAAUACGCGGUGCUAGGAGUGCCCUAACGCGGUAGUAGGUAAUACCGACGAAGGGGGGAAACAACCGGGAAAGUAUCCCCGGUGUUUCGAGUUUUCGAACACGUGAUCCGGAGGGGGAAAGUUUUGUGUUCUCUAUGCUAGGGAUGCGUGGCUGACGAACAGGCUGCGUAGACGGAUUCGUCUCGUCGUUCCGAGCAACGUUCAUGUACAAAAUAUUUUCAUCUGAGUUACGGAUUAUUUUAUAUUAAUUUUCAAAGUUUUAUUCAUUUUCUAGAAUUAAUUUAAUUCGAAAAUAAAAUAGAUUAUAAUUUUGUCACCUAGUGUUAUUGUAGCCAUAGUGUAUGACGGGUGGGGUCAGUGGGGUUGGGUUGACCCGGUCAAAUGUUGACUGGUCAACAUAUGAAUAGUACAAGUGGGUCCCACAUGUCAUUGUCUAAGGUUAACUAGACUCUAAUUAAAUUAGAUUAACUAAGAGUGGGGGCCAUUGUCAUUGGUUAGCAGUUAACCUAACUAGUAAUCAGCCCCUAAGCUAAUUUGCAUCGGCCGGCUGUUGGUGGCUUUGCACAAACACGCACACAAGCAUGUGCCCGGCCAUGGCCAUUAGCAUUAGCGUAAUAGCAGGCAACUAGCAAAGCAGAGUAACAGUAGCAAAACAUCAGCAGAAGCACCGGCUAGGUAGCAGCAGGAACAAGCAGUGGAGUAAGAGAAGCAGCAACGCACAAGGCAGACGGAAGAGCAGCAAGCAGCGGCACCUAGUAGAAGAAGCACCUAGCGGCAACAACAAUCAGCAGCAGCAGCGGUCGUGAUGCGACGCGGGAGCACGCAUGGGGGCGAGGCCACGCGAAGGCGGGCACGCGCGUAGGCGCGGCCGGGCGCAACCGGUCAUGCCACAGGCUAGCGAGCACGGGCAUGGCGUGACGGCGCGAGCAGCGGCAAGGAACAGUAGGUAGAAAGCAGCAGCAACACACAUCAGCAACAGAGGAGCAGCAGCGUGCACGUACGCGAACACUGAACUUGUGCCACGGUGGACAAAGCUCACGGGACGGCCACAAACGGAACGGAUCGAGCCGGAGAAGAGGGGGAAUCGGACGAGGAGCUCACCGCGGAGGUACACGGAGGCCUAUUGGUGGCUUAGGAGCUGCAGAGGCGACGGAUCGAUGAAGAACAGCGGCGACGACCGAGGAAGAAGAUGGCGUCGAUCCAGUCGAUGUGGUGGCUCCGGGCUUGAACGCGCCCCCGUAGCCGAAGAGGACGACAGCGGUGGUCCUCCUGGGCGCCUUGGCUAGCCAUGGCGGUGACGGGACGGCAGCGACGAGGAGCUCAGCUAGGCGCGGGAGAGAGAGCGAGGGGCGCGAGGGGGAAGGAUUGCGAGG
rnacentral:lncRNA from 1 species